UAUCCGCCGCUGACCGCCGAGUAUAGAACCAGAGAGGAGGACCAGAUUGCAAGGUUGUAUACAUCCUUGAAUUGGGUUCAAACAGUCGAGAUUACUCAAUUUGAAUGCACAGUUGACUGUAUUAAACAUGAUGCUAUUGAUACAUGAGGAUGGAAGAAUAGUGAGAGAAUUUGCAGAGCUACUUGAAGCCAGUGAAGACUAGAACAUGUCAAUGGUUUGGUCGGUGAGUUAAUAAACAAGGCACAACUUGGGACUGGAGUUAAUAAACAAGGCACAACAUGUCAAUAGAUAGCAGUUACUCUUGUGAAAGAUAUAUUGUAUAGUUCUUUGUGUUGGUUUUGCAAAAUUUUGUAUAGGAUUUUCAAUAAAAAAAAUUUAGGAGGUAUUUGGUACCGUUU